UACGUAGGGACCAAGCGUUGUCCGGAUUUACUGGGCGUAAAGGGCGCGUAGGCGGCAUGACAAGUCACUUGUGAAAUCUCCGGGCUUAACUCGGAACGGCCAAGUGAUACUGUCGCGCUAGAGUGCAGAAGGGGCAAUCGGAAUUCUUGGUGUAGCGGUGAAAUGCGUAGAUAUCAGGAGGAACACCGGUGGCGAAGGCGGCUACCUGGACAGAAACUGACGCUGAGGCGCGAAAGCUAGGGGAGCAAACAGG
rnacentral:rRNA from 1 species